GCUGUACUCCCUCCGUUCAGAAUUACUUGUCGCAAAAAUGGAUGUAUCUAGAUGUAUUUUAGUUCUAGAUACAUCCAUUUCCAAGACAAGUAAUUCUGAACGGAGGGAGUACAUA
rnacentral:pre_miRNA from 1 species